rnacentral:rRNA from 1 species
GACGAACGCUGGCGGCGCGCUUAACACAUGCAAGUCGAACGGAAAGGCCUGCUUUCCCUUGUGGAUUGCGGGUACUCGAGUGGCGAACGGGUGAGUAACACGUGAGUGAUCUGCCCCCAACUUGGGUAUAAGCCUGGGAAACUGGGUCUAAUUCCCGAUAGGACUGCAGGGUGGUGCCUGUGGUGGAAAACGAUUUUCUAGUGGUUGGGGAUGAGCUCGCGGCCUAUCAGCUUGUUGGUGGGGUAAUGGCCUACCAAGGCGGCGACGGGUAGCCGGCCUGAGAGGGUGGACGGCCACAUUGGGACUGAGAUACGGCCCAGACUCCUACGGGAGGCAGCAGCGGGGAAUAUUGCACAAUGGGCGGAAGCCUGAUGCAGCGACGCCGCGUGGGGGAUGACGGCCUUCGGGUUGUAAACUCCUUUCGACCGCGAGGAAGCCACCUGGUUGGAAGGGUGGUGACGGUAGUGGUAGAAGAAGCACCGGCUAACUACGUG